GCGAACGGGUGCGUAACACGUGAGCAAUCUGCCUAGAUGUGGGGGAUAGCCGGCCCAACGGCCGGGUAAUACCGCAUACGCUCUCCGGGUGGCAUCACCUGGUGAGGAAACAUUCGUGGCAUCUAGAGGAGCUCGCGGCCUAUCAGCUAGUUGGUGGGGUAACGGCCUACCAAGGCUUUGACGGGUAGCUGGUCUGAGAGGAUGGCCAGCCACAUUGGGACUGAGAUACGGCCCAGACUCCUACGGGAGGCAGCAGUGGGGAAUAUUGCGCAAUGGCCGAAAGGCUGACGCAGCGACGCCGCGUGGGGGAUGAAGCAUUUCGGUGUGUAAACCCCUGUUGCUCGGGACGAACAAUCGGCUUUAGCCGAUCUGACGGUACCGGGUGAGGAAGCACCGGCUAACUCCGUGCCAGCAGCCGCGGUAAUACGGAGGGUGCGAGCGUUGUCCGGAAUCACUGGGCGUAAAGGGCGCGUAGGCGGUCUGCUAAGCGUGCAGUGAAAGCCUGGGGCUCAACCCCAGGUCUGCCGUGCGAACUGGUGGACUAGAGCACUGUAGAGGCAGGUGGAAUUCCGGGUGUAGCGGUGGAAUGCGUAGAGAUCCGGAAGAACACCGGUGGCGAAGGCGGCCUGCUGGGCAGUUGCAGACGAUGAGGCGUGACAGCGUGGGGAGCAAUCAGGAUUUGAUACCAUGGUAGUCCACGCAGUAACAGAUGGGCAAUAGGUGCUUGGGGGAGCGACCCCCCGAGUUCCGGCGAUAACGC
rnacentral:rRNA from 1 species